rnacentral:rRNA from 1 species
ACUCCUACGGGAGGCAGCAGUGGGGAAUAUUGCACAAUGGGCGCAAGCCUGAUGCAGCAACGCCGCGUGAGUGAUGAAGGCCUUCGGGUCGUAAAGCUCUGUCCUCAAGGAAGAAUAAAUGACGGUACUUGAGGAGGAAGCCCCGGCUAACUACGUGCCAGCAGCCGCGGUAAUACGUAGGGGCAAGCGUUAUCCGGAAUCACUGGGCGUAAAGGGUGCGUUAGGCGGUUUUUCAAGUCAGAAGUGAAAGGCUAUGGCUCAACCAUAGUUAAAGCUUUUGAAAACUGUUAAACUUGAGUGCAGGAGAGGAAAGUGGAAUUCCUAGUGUAGAGGUGAAAUUCGUAGAUAUUAGGAGGAACACCGAGUGGCGAAGGCGUACUUUCUGGACUGUAACUGACGCUGAGGCACGAAAGCGUGGGAGCGAACAGGAUUAGAUACCCUGGUAGACUGUCA